UACGAGGGGGGCGAGCGUUGUUCGGAAUUAUUGGGCGUAAAGGGUGCGUAGGCGGUUUGGUAAGUCUGAUGUGAAAUCUAUGGGCUCAACUCAUAGUCUGCAUCGGAAACUGCCGGGCUUGAGUAUGGGAGAGGUGAGUGGAAUUCCUGGUGUAGCGGUGAAAUUCGUAGAUAUUCGGAAGAACACCAGUGGCGAAGGCGACUCACUGGACACGUAUUGACGCUGAGGUGCGAAAGCGUGGGGAGCAAACAGGG
rnacentral:rRNA from 1 species